GGACACGUCUACUGCGCCAAACUGACUGUCUUGUGUCUGCCCCGGCGCUUAGGACAGUAUUCAACACCUGGUAUGAAUCAUGGCAGGAUGGUGAAAACGGGUGAUUUGCUGUCUGAAGGCCAAGCAUGGCUGUGAUUAAAGGAUAUAAGUGCAUGAUUCCAAGAUUUACUUCCUUCCUGCUCCGGCCAGGAUAUCUGAGAUGAACUGAGGCCCAGAGAGGUUAUGUGGCAGACCCAAGGUCUCCCACACAGCAGCUCAGGGGAGAUCUGGGCCCAGGAUCCCGGUCUCCUGAGUUCCAGCCUCGAGCUCCUCCCCAUUUGCCGUGCUUCAGUCUUCUCGCCGAUCCAUCAAACAGCGGGGGCCGGGAGGAGAUCGGAACGGCUUCUCGGAGACGUCGCCACGAUCCAUUUGGGAAUGAAGAAUUCCGUUGGCCUGGAUUCCACCCCCACCCAGGAAGCUCCAUCAACCUGACAUUCCUCCGUCUGGGCUUGUUCUCAAGGUCGCCGAGGCCAUUUUUCUUAGAACCCUCCGUCUUCUCCAGGAUAAUAGCACUAAAGCCCAUCAGUCAUUAUCUCCUAGGCCUCAAUUUUCCUUUGGGCUUCCUGCAAUUUUAAUCUCAAGUUGUCAAGCUGCUUUUCCACAGAGACUUAAGUGGCCCAAUUUACAUCCAAUUUUCAACUAAUAUUUAUU